GGAUUAUACAGAUCCAUGUUUAAUAUUGAGUAAUGGUGUAUCUUCAAACAAGCUCUCUGAGCCCAAGUAAAAUAGUUUCCACCUAAUAAUCAAGACUGUUAAAGAACAGAGGCCACUUUUAUUCUAAGUUUUAUUUGUUUAAGUAAUCUCUACACCCCACGUGGUACUUGAACACAUGACCCUAAGAUCAAGGGUGGCAAACUCUUCCACAAGAGCCAGCCAGGUGCCCUAGAAGAGAGGCCACUGUGAAUGGCAGAAGGAAAGAGAGUGGACUGAAAGGGAAUAGGUACUUACUGAGCACCUCUGUAUGCCAGAUUUUACAAACAUACACAUAUACAAAUUGGAUAUUAUAGAUAUCUAUUUUAAAUAGUAUAUAUAAAUUUAUCUUUAAACUACUAUAUAUAUGCAUUCUAUCUCCCCCUUAAAAACAAAAAGUAAAAAAAAAUAAAAAUAAUUAAAUAAAAAAUAAAAGUACUCUCCACAAUUAUUGCCAUUACAUAUGAAGAGAAGGCCCUCUCCAGUAACUUCCUAAUUACUCAGGUCCUCCUGAUCUAAAUCCUAAGCUCUCUCCUCCACACACAGUUAUGCCUUUUCCUUACACAUAGCUAUUCACCAGAUGUUAGAUCCAAAAAUUAAUAUUGCAGGGCUCAGAGCCUGGUCUAUGAACAGGGAACCUCUCUACUUCUCCCCCAGUCUUCAUAGAAUUAUUUAGAAUUCCUCAUCUGGUCAUGCUAUCUGAAAUGCUAACAAGUAGAGAUUCCCUUAGGUAAAAACGCCUCCUACCAUGUUCAGGUGCAGGAAAAACCCCAUAUCUGAGUAUAACAACUUUUUCCCUCCUUCCACCUUACAUAGAAUCCUCAAGCCUUCUUUUAUUACAGCUUCUCAGAAAUGUUGAUCCAGCUUUUAUGUAGACAUUUUUGUUUUUCCUUUUUUUUUUUUUUUUGCUUUGCUUUGGGCUUUAGAACAGGUUUUUUGGAUAUAUGCAUGUUAAUUUUGAAUAGUUCUUGUGGUACUACAGAGAUCUAUUGCUGGUUAAUGUAUGAGUUAAGAGGAAAAAUUAGAAAAUCUUUUCAUUAAGAUUUGUGUUUACACUUGUCGGAAAUAAGCAUUUCUUUGUUUCAAGAUUGCCAGCUUUCAGUUAAGACAAUAUCUAUCAGUAAAUGAAUAUAUGUUUAGAUUUCACACAUCUUUACAAUUAAUUCAUAGUAGGGACUCAGGCUCAAGUAAACUUUCCUGUGUCUCGAUUUAUAAUCAAGACAGCAGGGGAGCCUUUUUAAGCUAAAGAGUGAUUAUCUUUCACAGUAGAGCUAGAUACAAAACCCUGCCCUGUGAGUUUGCUAUUUAUUCUUCCCCAAUGUGGACAUAACUGGGUUUUUUGUUUUGUUUUGUUUUGUUUUGUUUUUGGUCUUUAACAGAUAUACUAAGGUUUGAGUUUCACUUUCUGUAAGUCCCAAUAUGUCUAAAAUGAUACUAGCUGUAAGCAACAAAAUAUAGCUUUACAUUCACAAAUACCAUUCACUUAUUUAUAGUGACUCCUUUUUUGUAAACACUGUUUCCUUUGAUUAUGUCAACAUGUUUCUGAUGUGGCAUAUGUUUUUUUGCUUUUAAUCCCAAUCAGUUAAGAAAAUCUAGUUAGUAAGCACCAAGGGUAUUUUUUUUCCAUCACUAAAUAGGUUACUAAUUUAAUUUGAAAGGAAUAAAAUUUGUGUAAGAAGAAAAGCUGUUUAUUAUUAAUAAAAAAGUUCUUGCACAUCAGGUGGUAUCGUUUUCAUGUUCAUUUCCCCACCACUGAAAAAUAUUUUAAUUCACGAUAUUUUAACUGGUUUUUAAUCCAAAACUAAUUUAUAAGACAGUAUAUAUAGUAAUAGUAGCUUGAGUGAAUAAACAAAAGUUUAAUUUUUAUAUAUGUCACACUAUAUUUUAAAUAGUUAAAAAAGACAAAAGAAGGGAGAGCGGUUGAUGAUAUGGAUGGUGCCAUUUCAGUUCAAAGUUGUGAUAAUCUUUAGAGUGUUACAGUUUGGUUGUCAAAUGGUUCCAGAGGUGUAUAAUUGAUUUUUUUUUAAAUGUUGCAUUGUUUGAAUCUAAAAUACAGCACUAUAACAUGCUUUAGCUUGGGGGGUGGUUUGGGGAGGGGA
rnacentral:lncRNA from 1 species